rnacentral:rRNA from 1 species
UACAGAGACCUCAAGCGUUAUCCGGAAUCAUUGGGCGUAAAGCGUACCGAUAGGUGGUUGUACAAGUCAGAAGUGAAAUCUCCGAGCUCAACUCGGAAUCUGUCUUUUGAAACUGUACGACUAGAGGGGCAAAGAGGAAGCUAGAACGAACGGUGUAGUAGUAAAAUGCGUUGAUAUCGUUCGGAAUACCAAUAGCGAAGGCAGGCUUCUGGGUGCCACCUGACACUGCUAGGACGAAAGCGUGGGGAGCGAAUGGG